rnacentral:rRNA from 1 species
GUGGGGAAUAUUGGACAAUGGGCGAAAGCCUGAUCCAGCCAUGCCGCGUGUGUGAAGAAGGUCUUCGGAUUGUAAAGCACUUUAAGUUGGGAGGAAGGGCAGUAAGUUAAUACCUUGCUGUUUUGACGUUACCGACAGAAUAAGCACCGGCUAACUUCGUGCCAGCAGCCGCGGUAAUACGAAGGGUGCAAGCGUUAAUCGGAAUUACUGGGCGUAAAGCGCGCGUAGGUGGUUCAGCAAGUUGAAGGUGAAAUCCCCGGGCUCAACCUGGGAACUGCCUCCAAAACUACUGAGCUAGAGUACGGUAGAGGGUAGUGGAAUUUCCUGUGUAGCGGUGAAAUGCGUAGAUAUAGGAAGGAACACCAGUGGCGAAGGCGACUACCUGGACUGAUACUGACGCUCAUGCACGAAAGCGUGGGGAGCAAACAGGAUUAGAAACCCGAGUAGUCC